AAUGAACGCUAGCGGGAGGCUUAACACAUGCAAGUCGUGGGGCAGCACGGGGUAGCAAUAAUCUGGCGGCGACCGGCGCACGGGUGAGUAACGCGUAUGCAACCUACCCAGUACAGGGGAAUAGCCCGGAGAAAUUCGGAUUAAUACCCCAUAAUGAUAUAGAGAGGCAUCCUUUUAUAUUUAAAGCUUCGGCGGUACUGGAUGGGCAUGCGUAAGAUUAGCAAGUUGGUAGGGUAACGGCCUACCAAGGCUCCGAUUUUUAGGGGUCCUGAGAGGGUGAUCCCCCACACUGGUACUGAGACACGGACCAGACUCCUACGUGAGGCAGCAGUGAGGAAUAUUGUGCAAUGGGCGCAAGCCUGAACCAGCCAUCCCGCGUGAAGGAAGAAGGCGCUAUGCGUUGUAAACUUCUUUUCCGGAGGAAUAAAAUCUUGUACGUGUACAGGACUGAAGGUACUCCGGGAAUAAGCAUCGGCUAACUCCGUGCCAGCCGCCGCCGUAAAAC
rnacentral:rRNA from 1 species